rnacentral:piRNA from 1 species
UAAACUAAGUGGUGCGUGGGAGAGA